rnacentral:lncRNA from 1 species
GGCAACCAUGGUCUUUGAAUUUUGGGGCAAUCUGUUGUUGAAUGAGAGAUGAGGCUUGUGUAGCCAUAACAGCUUGCCAAGGAAUACUGGUUUUUCUUUUGACCGUGGUGAAGUCUUUCAAGAAUUUUGUAUAGGAGGGAAUUUGUCUUAUGGCAUCGAGAAAAGGUAUAUUUAUUUGAACAGUUUUAAAGACUUCCAUUAUUUCAUCAAAGUUAGAUUGUUUCUUGGAGUCCUGAAGUCUACUAGGAAAGAGAACCUUAGGUUUGUAUGUUUCUAUGAGUUCUUCCUUUUUGUCUGAUUUAUCCUGUUCUUGACCCCUCUUCUGAAUAGGAUUCUUAUCGGAUUCAUUUUAUUUCCUUUUCCAUGUUCAGAAAGUUGGACUUUAUUGUCCACUUGCUUGCCAGACCUUAAAGUGGUAAUUGCCUGGACUUCAUAGGUCGGAUUUUCAUUAGAAUCGAUUUGAUACUGACCUCUCUAACCUUGAUUUUGUUGUCUACUAGGGUUAG